CCACAGGCCAACUAGAGAGGCAGAAGCUGCCCAGUCUCCACAGGCUGACACUGCUUUACUGUGACAGUGAGGGGCCCCAACCUUUCUGCAGGAUGAAGGUUGAGAGCACUUAGAGGGACUGAGACACACCCGUGCACGCACACCAGGUGGAGUGGAACAGUCAAGCUGGUGCAAUUCUUUAUGGCUCGGGGCUAUUGCCCAGUGCAGCCUGACUCAAUUCCUCACGAGGCUAUUACCCAACAGACAACAAUCUCGGGGCAGUAAGAUGUGUCCAAGUGCAUCUCAUCUGGGACAAGGCUGACAUCACAGGGAAUAUCCAGAUGCACAGUCCAGUCCCCUAGUGCAAGGUGAUCUCCACUGUCGGGAGAUCAGCUGCUCAUCACAAACCUCAGCUUCAGUGCAGACUGGUCAU